rnacentral:rRNA from 1 species
UACGUAGGGGGCGAGCGUUGUCCGGAAUUACUGGGCGUAAAGCGUGCGCAGGCGGUUUUGUAAGCCAGAUGUGAAAUCCCCGGGCUUAACCUGGGAAUGGCAUUUGGGACUGCAAGGCUUGAGUGCGGCAGAGGAGACUGGAAUUCCUGGUGUAGCAGUGAAAUGCGUAGAUAUCAGGAGGAACACCGAUGGCGAAGGCAGGUCUCUGGGCUGACACUGACGCUCAUGCACGAAAGCGUGGGGAGCAAACAGG